GAGUCAAGAGCCAGGGUUUUUUGAAGGAGUUUUUUUAGCCCAAGACUCCAUGGUGUCUAAUUUUGUUGAGGAAGUCCGUGGUGCAGUCAAGAGUACACCAGGAAAAGCAAUGUGUGGGGAAUCCCACUGGACAGCAGCAAGAGAGACAUCAAAGCAAGCCAACAAGUUGGAUGAAGAAGGUGUGGAAAUUGCUGUGUGCAGGCAUGGAGGUUGGGCUUGGGAUUGGUCUUAACAAAUAACAAAUAUUAGCAAUUACAAAUGUUUGUGGAUGAUUAAUCUAAUGAUUUUAAGCCUGCUCUUCACUCUGCAACAUGCUCUCUACUUUUUUCUAUUUUUCAAAAGGUCUGAACAUGUAUAGAGGAGAAAUCUUUGCAUAUCCGAUGUAUCUCCAAAAAGAGUUCAAAGAUGCAAAAUUUUUGGCCAUGGAUGUGACCUGCCGUUAUGUGCCAUACCUGGAGAAAGUGUCAGAGGCCCUGAGUCAUCUUCAACCUCUUCAGAAAAUGAGACAUUGCUUGUCUGUAAUGCAUGCUAAAGCCCACAAUACAAAAUGCGAGAUUCUGUGGAAUGCAAGGAACCAGGAAGGUGCUGGAACCACACUUGGGGAAGAAGUGGAGCAAGUAAAUAGUUUUCUAUCCAGAUGUGCACUGACCACAAAAUAUAUGACCAAGUCAGUAAGAACUGAUAUGCUUACGGUCCAUGCAAUUGGGUGGAAUCAGCGUAAAGAGAAUGGACUGCACAUUGCCUUGUCUUCUAGAUUUAAAAAGGUAUAUGUUCAUGUUUUGU